UACGUAGGAGGCGAGCGUUGUCCGGAUUUACUGGGCGUAAAGAGCGCGUAGGCGGUUCGUUGAGUCUUGCGUGAAAUCUCCCGGCUCAACUGGGAGGGUGCGCGAGAUACUGGCGGACUGGAGGGCAUCAGAGGAAAGCGGAACUCCCGGUGUAGUGGUGAAAUGCGUAGAUAUCGGGAAGAACACCAGUGGCGAAGGCGGCUUUCUGGGGUGUACCUGACGCUGAGGCGCGAAAGCGUGGGGAG
rnacentral:rRNA from 1 species